GACGGAAGGUGCAAGCGUUGCUCGGAAUCACUGGGCGUAAAGGGUGCGUAGGCGGCUUGGUAGGUCUGGUGUGAAAGCCCCGGGCUCAGCCCGGGAAGGGCACUAGAAACUGCCAAGCUAGAGUACGAAAGAGGGUCGCGGAAUUCCCGGUGUAGAGGUGAAAUUCGUAGAUAUCGGGAGGAACACCGGUGGCGAAGGCGGCGACCUGGGUCGAGACUGACGCUGAGGCGCGAAAGCGUGGGGAGCAAACAGG
rnacentral:rRNA from 1 species